GACCCAAUUGAGAAUCAAAUCGACUCCACAGGUAUACCAGUCACAGAUUCAUGUUGUUCAUGCAAACAGAACAUAAGGUUUUGGAUAUAGGAUUUUACAGAAAUUAAAUUUUAGAUCGUGUGUCAAAUAAUAUAUCAAAUAUAAUAUUUUAUUGAUCUAAAAUAUAUAUAAAUAUAUGCAUAAUUUGAUUUAAAUCUAAAACAUAUAUCAUAUACAAAUUUUUUGUUUGCUGUUCAUCUUCAUGAGAA
rnacentral:lncRNA from 1 species